UACGUAGGGGGGCUAGCGUUGUCCGGAAUCAUUGGGCGUAAAGGGCGCGUAGGCGGUCAGGUAAGUCAACUGUGAAAGCCCAGGGCUCAACCUUGGAAGUGCAGCUGAAACUACCUGACUAGAGUCUCGGAGAGGGUGGUGGAAUUCCCAGUGUAGAGGUGAAAUUCGUAGAUAUUGGGAGGAACACCAGUGGCGAAGGCGACCGCCUGGACGAAGACUGACGCUGAGGCGCGAGAGCGUGGGGAGCAAACAGG
rnacentral:rRNA from 1 species